CUGUAAACUGUAUAUUUUUCAACCAAAGUGAUUUUAAAUACUACGUAAUUUUAUAAACUAUAUCUCGCUAAAGUAAAUAGGUGAUUCAAAAAAAUAUAUUAUUACAGUUUGUUGUAGUUAGUGUUUUAGUAAGUUCUGUUUAGGUUCAGGUUAUUGGAUAUUAAUCUCAUAACUCAUUACUUGUACAAAAUUACUUUUGUAUACUUAUUGCUUGUGAUUUUUACCAAAAAUGUCAUAUAAAUUAUUUGUUUGUGUACAUUUUAUUUUGUUCGUUUGUUAUAUUCAAUGUGAAAACAAGUAUUCUCGGUCAUCUAAUGUAAAAAGCGAAAAGGAGAAUAUAGACUUUAGAACUUUGGAAAAACCAUUUAGAAUGCAAAAAUUUAACCUACUGUGGACAAAGGCUAAGCAGAGGUUGACUGAACCCAAAUUGAAAUCCUUAUACAGUGAUUUAAUGAUACAAGAUAAGGAAGAAAUAAUAUACAAAAGGAUUAAAAGUGAAGGUGGUGAUAAGGAAGGACUGAAGGAAGCAGAUUUGAGAAGAAAAGUGACAACAAUAAUGAAUAACUAUGGUUUGAGGGAGCAUUUUGAAGACAAUGAUAUAGGCAGACAAAAACAGGACCCUAAAUUUAACUCUGCAUCAGAAAAGUUUAUAAAUAAGAGCCUCUUUAAAGACAAAAAGCUGAAUAUGCUGUGGGCGAAAGCUGAGGCUUCAGGGUUUACGACCGAGGAGCUUGCUGCAUUGAAAGAGGAGUUCACACAUCAUCAAGAGAAAAUUGAUCAAUAUUAUGACUUGUUGGUCAAUAUGGAUGUAAACGAUAGUGAAGCAUUUAAAAAUGUUAUUAAUGAAGAAGAAUUAGUGAAGUUUAAUGAAAUAAAUAAUGACAAUACUUAUGUCAAUGAUAAUGGCGAGAACUUAAGAAAAGAUUUUGUUGAUAGAUCCAACUUAGUAAGAGACAAGCACAGAGGUCUCCGCGAUGGCUUUGAUAGGCUGGAGAGAAUUGCUGCAAGAGGGCCAACUAACAAGGAGUUCAUUGAGCCCAAAGUUCAGGGUCUGUGGAAAAUGGCGGUUGCUGCUAACUUUACCGUAGAUGAGCUUGCUUCACUGAAGGUAGAGCUGCAGCAUUACGAGUCUCGUCUGCUGAAGCUACGCGCGUUGCACGCCGACCACGUAAGCAACCUCGACAAACAUCACUCCAAGAUAGCGGCAGCUGGUGACAAAAUGGAUAACUUCGCGGACCAGCAGCAGAUGAUAAAGAAGCACUCGCGCAAGGUAGAGAAGCUGCACGCGGAUAUCGAGGGUAGAAUCCUGGCCAGGCACACUGAGUUGUGAAACUACCUUCAUAUAAUAUGUACCUUCUCAACAUAAUACUUACUUGGCAAGAUGAGUAGUAAUAAUAUUAUGUGGUGUUCUACUCCCAAAAAAGGAAAUUCGUUAAUAGUUAUAAAAAUUAGUGAUUUGCUGCAAAAAUCCGCAAAAUGAGAGUAUUUUUUUAAAGUUCUUGUGUAAAAAAUAUUUUACACUGACACUUGGCUCACCGCUGGCGGGGACGGGCGAUUACUCGUACCGUAGUAGAAAAUGACCGCUGCGAGUCGCUGGCAGUGUUUCUGCCCACCAACCGAGCAUCGCUCAUUGAACAACUAUUCAUUUAUGUGUCUCUUUUAUUAUACACACCGCGACAUAUUACGGAUUACGUAUUCAGACACCUGGAAUACGGUUAAAUUAUACCUAUAUAUUUGUCUUUAUAUAAUGAAGUUUGUUUUUAAAGAACAAACAAUCAACAUAAAUCUUAAUGUAAUAACUAUUUUUUUAUUAUUUUAUAAUUAUAGCUAAUAAAUAUUUUAUCUACGCCCAUGCUUUAAAUCCUCUAUUAAAGAUUCUGAAACAGUUAGCCUAUUGCCAACAUUAAAACACCCCAAUGUCCUAAUAACAAUAACAUCAUCCAAACGGAUGAUGUUAUGUUGUACUGAAUUUCAUAACAAAGAAUAUUUAAGUUUACUCGCGUACCACACUACCAGAACGUCGCGCGCCGGAAAAAAAUAGGUUAUUCGAAUCCCCGCCAUUUUUUUCGAUAUUUUUAUUGUUUUGUUUACAAAAAAUGAGCGAUUCAUUUUAAACGGUGAAUAUUCGAGUGAAUUUUAAUUAUUGCACUAUACACAAUGUAAAUUACUACUAAAAUAAAUAAUUGAUACAUUAAUACUUAGUUUAUUUGUAUAUAAUCGUAAAAGUAAUGAAUGAUAUUAGGCUACUACUAGGUCUGGUGUUUAAAUGUUAGCAGUAAGCUAACUGUUCCAGAAUCUUUUAGAGGAUUCAUAUUCUGGGUGUAGAUAAAGUCUUGUAUGCAACUGUUGAUAAUUAGGUAUUAAAACACUCAUGUGAUACUAUUAUCACUAUACUAUACUAUAAAUCCACAUUCGUGUUUUAAUACCCCUUAUUACACAACAGUUGCAUAAAUAACUAUUAAAAAAUUCAAGACACACUAUUUUUAGAUUCACCACAUCAGUUAUUGCUAUUUAGUUCCAUCAGAUACAUGGACGUUUGAGCUAGGUUUAUUGUUAAUACACAUUUUAUUCUCAUUUAUUUCCCAUGCAACAUAAUUUGAGCUAUGUGAUAAUUUUUUGGGAAAAAUACAAGUAACUAGUCUGGCUAUACAUACAAAAUUACUUAUGCAGCGCCAUAGCUCAAUUAUGGGGCAAAUAAUACUGUGUUAUAUAUCCUUUGUAUUAAUUUCAUUGUUAUUGUUAAUUAUGAACUGACUAUUGGACGUUUAGAAAAUGUAUAAUGUGUUGAGAUUGAAAAAUAAAAUGUAAAUACAUAAUUGUUUUAUAUUCAGUUAUUAUACAUUGGUUAAUAUAAAUGCUUAUUAAUUUAAUUAGUGAAUUGUUAAAGACUGAAUUUAAUUGGUGGACUAAAUUCAAUUACUGAGUCAUUUGAAAUUAGUUGGUAGUUUAUUGACUGUGGUAGUAAUUAGUAUUGUAUGGUUGACGAACAAUAAACAACUAGAAUCACAAUCACGCUCAAACUCUGCGUGAGCGUCUAUUAGGCAGAGUUUUUCUUCAGUUGUGUUUCGACCGCGCUUUGAAUACAACGCCACGCAAUAACAAAGUGUUCAGUGAAAAAAAGUCCAAAUACCAGCAUACCAAACUUACAUAAAGGAUGGAGUGUCGUAUUUCAGAUAAGUGUACCCUUUGUCCCCAAAUUAAAUUUAUUGUAUCCAACUUAAAUUUAUUAAUCAUUUUCCUAAAUAAUUACUUUUCAUUUGCUAAAACAAAAUGUUACUGCGUGACGUGUUACUGCUUCUGAGCGUGACUUUGAACAUUACUGCCACGAAAUAAGGUGUUAAUUUCAAUGAAUAUCUUAUGAUAUCUGUAUAGGUUAAUGUAUACGUAUAUACAACGCCGCUCUGACAUUUAUGACGACCAUUUAAUAGGCGAUAUGGAUUCUAGUUGUUUAUUGUACGUCAAUGUAUUGUAUGUUGUCCUUGUACAUAACAUCUGUUUGGUCUGAAGUGUGAGAUUGAGUACAAUUUAAUACAAAUAAAUUAAAAUUGCUUUUAUACUAGGAACUAUUUGCAGUAAUUAAAUCUUAUUACAUAACAUUCUAGAAGUAAUUUUCGUAACAGGCAAUCUAUGCUAAAUCGUUAACUUACCUUUUGGAUUGUUAUUAUUUUUGAUGCUAAAUGAGAUGUUGUUUAAUGUAUAAAUUAGAUAGUAAGAACAAAACUAUAAGGGUCUUAAUGACGUCACUAAAGAUUGACAUAAUGACGCCAUAUUUGCAAACGUUCCUUGACUGACAUUACUAGUAUUUUCACAUUAAUUGGUAUGAAAAUUGUGUUUGCCAAGACUUCGCUGGUGACUUGCGCUUGACAACAGCUGCCGGCCCUCGAUGCUGCACGAUUAAUACUGAUUGCAAUAUUUAAGCGACGUUUAUAAUAUUUAUUAAUUAAAGAUAACAAUUUAUAUAGCAUUACUUAUCGAAUUCUGCCACUGCUCUAUGGUUCAAUGAUGCCGACAGUUCUCACUUCACUAUGAUGCUUGACGUCCAGUCUUAUAGUUCCUCCAUCACUUAUUCACCUUUUUACAAAAUUACUACACCUUUGAUAUUUUUCUGGGCUAUAUUUUUUUUGUUCUAUUUAUCGUGACAAACAGUUACUUUUACUGUGAUCUUUUAUUCUAAAAGCAAUUUAAUCACUCAUAAAAAAAUGUAGAAUCUGACACUAAAAAAACCAGACACCAUGUAUUCCUAUUACACACACCUAGCUAACAAGUGUUUUCCUCACACUUGAGCGCUCUCAGCGCGUGCUUAGCAACUCCACUCAGUCUCAUAAUUAAGACCAGACUAUGUCGAAUAACACGUGGAAUAUUAACAAGUAGAGCGCAUUGUAGAUUCAUUUUGUGAACGUAGACGUAAUUGUUGUUCAAUAAAUGAAUUUUAUAGAAA